AUUGAACGCUGGCGGCAGGCCUAACACAUGCAAGUCGAGCGGAUGAAGGGAGCUUGCUCCUGGAUUCAGCGGCGGACGGGUGAGUAAUGCCUAGGAAUCUGCCUGGUAGUGGGGGAUAACGUCCGGAAACGGGCGCUAAUACCGCAUACGUCCUGAGGGAGAAAGUGGGGGAUCUUCGGACCUCACGCUAUCAGAUGAGCCUAGGUCGGAUUAGCUAGUUGGUGGGGUAAAGGCCUACCAAGGCGACGAUCUGUAACUGGUCUGAGAGGAUGAUCAGUCACACUGGAACUGAGACACGGUCCAGACUCCUACGGGAGGCAGCAGUGGGGAAUAUUGGACAAUGGGCGAAAGCCUGAUCCAGCCAUGCCGCGUGUGUGAAGAAGGUCUUCGGAUUGUAAAGCACUUUAAGUUGGGAGGAAGGGCAGUAAGUUAAUACCUUGCUGUUUUGACGUUACCAACAGAAUAAGCACCGGCUAACUUCGUG
rnacentral:rRNA from 1 species